AGAGGGAAGGAGAGAAAGGGAGGAAGGAAGGGAGGGAGGGAGGAAGAAGAGAAAGGAAGGAGGGAGGGAGAGGAAGGAGGGAGGAAGGGAGGGAAGGAGGGAAGGAAGGAGGAGGGAGGGACGGAGAGAGAGAGAGGAAGGAGAGAAAAGGAGGAAGGGAGAGGGAGGAAGGGAGGAAGAAAGGAAGGAAGGAAGGAAGGGAGGGAAGGAGGGAAGGAAGGAGGGAGGGAGGAAGAGAGGAAGGAGAGAAAGGGAAGAAGGGAGAGGGAGAAAGGAAGGAAGGAGAGAAAGGAAGGAAGGAAGGAGAGAAAGGAAGGAAGUAGAGGAGGAAAGGAGAGGAAGGGAGGAAGGGAGGGAGGGAGGGAGGAAGAAGAGAAAGGAAGGAGGGAGGGAGAGAAAGGAAGGAAGGAGAGGAAGGAAGGGAGGGAGGGGAAGGGAGGGAGGAAGGAAGGCAGGGAGGGAGGGAAGGAAGGAGGAAGGAGGGAGGGAGAGAGAGAGAGGAAGGAGAGAAAGGGAAGAAGGGAGAGGGAGGAAGGGAGGAAGGAAGAAAGGAGAGAAAGGAAGGAAGGAGAGGAGGAAAGGAGAGGAAGGGAGGUAGGAAGAGAGGGAGAGAGGAAGGGAGGAAUAAAGGAGAGAAAGGAAGGAAGGAGAAGAGGGAAGGAGAGGAAGGGAGGAAGGAAGGGAGGGAAGGAGAAAGAAGAGAAAGGAAGGAGUGAGGGAGGGAAAGGGAGGGAGGAAGGAAGGGAGGGAUGGAGGGAAGGAAGAAGGAAGGGAGGGAAGGAGGGAAGAAAAGGAAGGAGGGAGGGAGAGAGAGAGGAAGGAGAGAAAGGGAAGAAGGGAGAGGGAGAAAGGAAGGAAGGAAGAAAGGAGAGAAAGGAAGGAAGUAGAGGAGGAAAGGAGAGGAAGGGAGGAAGGAAGGGAGGGAGGGAGGAAGAAGAGAAAGGAAGGAGCGAGGGAGAGAAAGGAAGGAAGGAGAGGAAGGAAGGGAGGAAGGGGAAGGGAGGGAGGAAGGGGAAGGGAGGGAGGAAGGGGAAGGGAGGGAAGGAGAGAAGGAAGGAGGGAGGAGGGAGGGAGAGGGAGAGAGGAAGGAGAGAAAAGGAGGAAGGGAGAGGGAGAAAGGAAGGAAGGAGAGGAAGGAAGGGAGGUAGAGGAAGGGAGGGAGGAAGGGAAGGAGGGAGGAAGAAGAGAAAGGAAGGAGGGAGGGAGAGGAAGGAAGGGAGGGAGGGGAAGGGAGGGAGGAAGGGAAGGAAGGAAGGAGGGAGGGAGGGAGGGGUGACCUCGGUGUCCUCUGGCUGUGCACCAAACCCAGCAUCCCCAGCGAGAGCGCAGGGAUGCAGCGCUGCUGGGAUGCUCCCGGACCACGAGGCUCAGCAGCUCCGGUGGGCGCUGACAGGAGGGCGAGUUGUCAGCCCCUGCUCCUUAACACCCUGACAAGCUCCUAACUAUUUCAUUUGUUACACCGUGAACCUUUUUAAAUUAAUGAACAUAAGGUUGUCACGGUUGCCGUGGAGACGACACGUUGCCAGGGCGACGGCGGCGAUACGGAGCCUGCGGAGUGUAAUCAGGGGUCAGGCUAACGAGGGAGCCAGGAUGUGCGUGGGGGGCUGCAGGAAGGGGCAGUGAACCCCCAGUGCUCCCAGCAGCCCACGGCCCCCAAACCAGUAGGGGCAAUGGGGAGAACGUGGCACUGCAGCAUCCCUCGCUCUGCAUCGGCAACCCCCGGGGAGCAAAACCCCCUCGUUGCACAAACCUCGGGAUGCUCAUGUUGCACGUGAGCCUGACCCUGCAAGCAAGGAGAAGGAGGCUGGGCAAGCAGCUCGGUGCGUUGCACCCUGCCCUGCCCUCGUCCCCGUGAGUUUGCUGGGGCUUCNNNNNNNNNNNNNNNNNNNNNNNNNNNNNNNNNNNNNNNNNNNNNNNNNNNNNNNNNNNNNNNNNNNNNNNNNNNNNNNNNNN
rnacentral:lncRNA from 1 species